AUGGAUCUGGUCCCGCCCGUCUCCGACUACCCCAGUCCCACCGCCGCCCGCGCCAGGAUGUCGGUACCGGGGUACGACGUCAUGUUCGGGAAGCUCUCCCGCCGCGGCCUCUUCGAUGACUACUUCAUGCAGCGCGGGGGCAUCGACACACGCUUCGUGCUCAAGGCCAAGGAAGAUCCUCGCCUUCAGCUGGCCGCCACCAUUUCUACAAGUGGCGACAUGGAGGCCCAGUUUCGGUGGCACAGGGAUCUGGAUAUUCCCCACACAUUCGUGGACCUGACUGCGUCAGCUUCAGAACCCAUGUUGCGGCUAAGAUCAUGCGCUUACUAUCCAAAGUAUGGUAUUGGCGCCUUUGGAACAUUCCCUUUCCUUAUGACAAACAGGGUGCGUUCGGAAGACUACGGUGUCAUGGGUUUAAGAUACGGUUCAAAGAAUCUGUCGAUUGGAGCGUCUUUUCUACCAUUUGCUUUAUCUGGUGAGGUACCCUAUAGUGCAUGGUUGGUCGGGAGAAGAGGAAGUUUAAGUGCAGGGGUCCAAUAUAAGCCACUUAGUGGAAGCAAGCAUCCUGUGCCGUUUACAGACCCAAUGAACUGGAAUUGUGCAAUCAGUUAUGGCAUGGGAUCAGAUAGCCCACUCAGCCCUUCACUCAAUUUUGCCCUAGAGCUUGUCAGAAAUACACAGCUGGUUGCAUCAUUUUAUCGGAACCAUGUUGUGGGCUGCACGGAAGGAAAUACUGAAUACGACUUCAUUAGUCUGACAAACUCCAUUGAUCUUGGGCUUGAGCUGGCCAAAAGGUUGGAUAGAGACAAACCACCAGAAAAUGCAAACGAUUUGUCGUUUCAGAUAGCUGCAUGUUGGAAGCCUAACGAACAUGUGUUAGUAAAGGGGAAGGCAGGUCUCUCCAAAUCGUCCUUUGCUAUGGUGUUAAACCAUCCGAUCAUGACCUUCUUAACAUUUAACGUCGCAGUUGAACGUGACCACAAGCAGGGUACAGGAUCGUAUGGAUUUGGGUUUUGUUUUAAGGAUAUAUGA
rnacentral:rRNA from 1 species